ACGAAGGGAGCUAGCGUUGUUCGGAAUUACUGGGCGUAAAGGGCGUGUAGGCGGUACCAUAAGUCAGAUGUGAAAGCCCUAGGCUUAACCUAGGAGGUGCAUUUGAUACUGUGGAACUAGAGAUCGAGAGAGGAAAGUGGAAUUACGAGUGUAGAGGUGAAAUUCGUAGAUAUUCGUAAGAACACCAGUGGCGAAGGCGACUUUCUGGCUCGAUACUGACGCUAAGGCGCGAAAGCGUGGGGAGCAAACAG
rnacentral:rRNA from 1 species